AUUGAACGCUGGCGGCAGGCUUAACACAUGCAAGUCGAGCGGAGAUGAGGUGCUUGCACCUUAUCUUAGCGGCGGACGGGUGAGUAAUGCUUAGGAAUCUGCCUAUUAGUGGGGGACAACAUUCCGAAAGGAAUGCUAAUACCGCAUACGUCCUACGGGAGAAAGCAGGGGAUCUUCGGACCUCGCGCUAAUAGAUGAGCCUAAGUCGGAUUAGCUAGUUGGUGGGGUAAAGGCCUACCAAGGCGACGAUCUGUAGCGGGUCUGAGAGGAUGAUCCGCCACACUGGGACUGAGACACGGCCCAGACUCCUACGGAAGGCAGCAGUGGGGAAUAUUGGACAAUGGGGGAAACCUUGAUCCAGCCAUGCCGCGUGUGUGAAGAAGGCCUUAUGGUUGUAAAGCACUUUAAGCGAGGAGGAGGCUACUGAGACUAAUACUCUUGGAUAGUGGACGUUACUCGCAGAAUAAGCACCGGCUAACUCUGUGCCAGCCGCCGCGUAAA
rnacentral:rRNA from 1 species